UUCUAAGUCUGCUGUGUUCCGCCCUGGCCAAGGACCCUGUCUCAGCCUAUGAGGCUCCGGGAGGAGAGCAGCUGACAGUGAAGGAGGUUCAAAACCUCUGUCCUGCCUCCAGAAUGGCUUCGAUCAGUGAGGAGGAUACCACCAGAGAUCAUUCCCUAGAAAUGAUGUCAAACUGUGACUCUGGUAAACUGGAGGAUGCAGACACAGAGAGGGCAGAGUCCAAG